CAUUUUUGGAAACUAUCGAGGUUUAUGUAAGUCAGAAUUAUUUUUGGGAAAUUGUGGGGUGUAUGUAACUAGGUUAAAAGUUAACCAUAGAAACUUUGGGGUGUAUUUUGUGACCAAAUUAAAAUUCAUAUUAUAAUAUCGAAAUUUCGAUAUUAGAAUUUCGAAAAUUCGAUAUUGAAAUAUCGAGAUUAUAUGCCCUUGUCACUACAUCAUUAUUUUUCUAUAGGAAUUUUAGGCAAAAUAUUGCGUACGAAGCGCUGAAUGAGCCAUCUCAUCUCAUCUCAUCUGAGCAUGAGAUGAGAUGAGAUGAGACGAGCCAGGGUUUUGACGAACUCAUUUAGUUCUCAACUCAUCUCACCAGGUAAUGAGAUGGGGUGAGAUGAGCUCUGUCUCACUUCAUCUCAUCUCACCGGCAACCCUACACAUGCUUAUCCAUUGUAUUUUUUGCAAUAAAAAAAAGAAGGACGAGAAAAAGUCCAACCGCCGGGUUUUAAACUUGCCACCAAUAAAAUCAAUGGCAAAUACAAAUGCGUUAAAAGGAUAUUAAAUGUUCAAAGUACAGUUUUUUGUUGCAUGAAGGUUUUGCGAGUAAAAUUUUACUCACAGAAGCUUGGUGUGAACACUAGGCACACAUACUUUCAUGCGUAAAAAACAUUUGAACAUUUUCCGAUGCAAAUUGUUUCACACCACUUUUCUUUGGUGUGAACGGUGUUUGCAACAAAUUUUACUCAUGAAAACAUGAAUUUUUCUCCGUGUGGCCGGGCCUUAACAAUGGAGGUCUCCCAACGAAUGGUCACAGAUAUGGACUUUUGUCAAACGACACCAAAUUUAAUUAGCAUGCAAUUUACAAAUGGCACUAUCUCCCAAUGCCAAAUUUGUGGAGAUAUUUGCAUUUGAAGAGAAGAAAAACGCGGAGUAAAUUUGGAAAGUAUAAAAUUUGUCAACUUUUUGGGCACGUUUUAUCCUAUUUUUUUUGCAGAUAUCUGUCAAACCUGAACAUUGGGAGAUCGUAUCAUUGACGUCACAUCAUGUCAUUUGAUCACAAUAUAUCCUCAAAAUUAUCGAAACAAAACUUUCAAAUUUUGAUUUUGACCACACCCCCUGGCAGUAGGUGUGCCGAUAAUUUCCCAAAAUUAGUCAGAGUUGUUUAGAGUUUGAUUAGACCUUUCGAAUGACAUCCCACUUGAUGGGGUAAUGCGAGAAAAUAAUUACUGACCUGUGAUCACACCCCCUGAGGGCGUGGUUAUCAAUGAAAGUUGCAUUACUUAUGCUCCUCCCCUUGGAACUUCAUAUCUCGAUUCCCGAAGGCAGAAUUCGAUAAAAUGAAAUGAGUCGAGAGCUAUAGGUUUUUGGCAAACAAUUACAGCAAUCCGGAGCAGAGGUCGACGCCGACAAAUUUUCGGCGGCGGCGGCGCCAGUUUUUGGUGAUUUUUCGGCGGCGUCGGCGGCGCGGCGCGGCGUCGCAAUGUUAAAGGAAUAGGAAAUCAAAUUUUUCGGCGGCGGCGGCGCGUAAAAUGCGUUGGCGUAUGGCGGCGUGAGAUCGGCGUCGACCUCUGUUCCGGAGUCCGGAUUCCGGACCAGUGCGCUUUGUGGUAUUUGCGUUUAAUGUCAAACUCAAAGUCCGUAAUUUAAAAUAAAUUAGAUUUGACUUUGUUGUAUAAUUGAUAAAAUAGAUUUGGGGUGAACUUCCUAUAAAUUUUCAUAAGGUUUGUGAAUUAACAGAGUUUGCUGAGUCUUUUAUGAAGUUUCCAGGACCCAGAUUCACUAAGAAAUAUUCUUGGUCUGUAGACAGUCUAUAGACAAAAUCCAAUUCACUAACUCGGUUUAAACCUGUCUUAAGACAAAAUCUAGAAAAAUUUGAGCCCAAGACAAAAUUUAGACCGAGUUAGUGAAUAGGUAGAUUCAUUAGCAAAAAGUUAGACCAAAGCUAGCUCAAAGUUAGAGCAAAUCUCAAACCUACUCCGGAGGUGUCUAACUUUAAGAUUUGAGCUUAGUUUCUGUGCGACUGCGAGAGGAAUAACACGUUAUUUUUUGUUGUUUUUGUGGAAAUAAAAUAUUUAAUUAAAUAGUAAUUUUAAUUUUUGAGUAAAUGCCAGAUAAUUUCCCCGUCUCCUAGUCCUUUGCCAGAGCCUUAACAGCCAGUGCAGUGACCGCAUGGCCGUCCCCCUUCGAUUCUUGGAGGAAGAAAGACUGAAGAUAUUCGGCAGAGGAAGAAACUGGAACAAUGUGACUUCGAAGUUGGUAAACAUUUUGGACUACUCUUGUGGGGAGCGGAAGCUAUUUGUGAGAUUUUUAAGCCUUUAGAAGGGCAAAGGUCAUCCUCGAUUCCCUUCGAAACCUUCCUUAACACGAAAGUCAAGUUUCGAAGAGGGGACACAAAGUUGAUGCGAGAACAAGUCGCAGAUGUACAAGAACAAGUAGCAGUUAUUAAAAAAAUUGAGCACAUUCUGUCAGAUAUGCGGGAUAUUUCUCGCAAGAAAGUGGAACUUACACAAGCAAAAUACAAACAGAUAGGAAGUCAGCACGUGAAUGCAUUGGAUUAAGCCAGCGCCGUGAGGCCAGCGUCAAUGUAAUGAAGAUAAUGUAGAUUUUAACAAACAAAUAUUUACAUAAAUAGUCAUUUUAAUAGUUACAUACAUGUCAGAUAGUUCAUCCCUGUCCUAGUUUUUUGACAGAGCCAUAAUAGCAGUGCGAUGACCACAUGAUCGUGCAUAAUACGUAUAAAAUGUGUGAUGGAACAGGUAUUGACUUUAAAUCGGUGAAUUUCGGUAUGCGAACAUAAAUACCACAUUCUAAAAAUUGAAAAGUCGUCAACAAUUAUAAUCAAUAUAUAUUUGAAUUUGCAUGCUAAGUUGCCGGGAAGCAAUGACGAUAGGAAUCAUACCAGCGUUGGAGAAUAUCUUGCAAGCAAGGAAUUUGGCGAGAUUCCGAACCUUUGGAGCCUUGACCCCUUAUGCAGAUUAUAGGCUGAGGAAGAUUAUAAAUUGAGAUUUAACAACUUCUAGAAACGAGUAAUGUUAUGCACGGCACCAUCGUUUGUAGGUCCAGUGAGACGAAUUAUAAGUAGGAGAGGAAUCAAAUCGUGUUACCAAGAAUGAAAAAAUUGCAGAUUGAUUGCAGCGAGUGUUAUUAUGCUUCACAACUCACUUAUUGAAAAGGGUAUCCCGCUUGCAGAUGACGACGAACCAUUACGGGACGAGGUCAUUAACAUUUACUACAAUCAAAUUUAAGCCUCAAGUCUGAAUGGACGAAGUAGCGCUGGCCUUACACAAGACGCUGGCUCAUUUGGAAUAAACAUCACACAUUACUUGCAGGAAUUGUAAUACCGGAUCGCACAGACGACCCCAUUCUAAUCUCACUCCUCAGCAACGCAAUAAUACUCAUUGAUCCGCCUAAAAUGAAGAAAUUUAAGCAAGAUGAACUCAUAUACACAGGCGUGAUUGGUGUUUAAUUUAAUGGCGGCUCUAUCUGUUUAUUUGUCAUUCUGUUGCAGCCAAAUAUAAAUUACGACAAAUACGACAGUAAAGACAUUUUCGAUUCUCCCGGCGUCGUUAGACCAGCGCCAUAAGGCCAGAGUCGAUGUAGAGAAGAUUGUGGAUAGUGUAGAUUUUAAAUAUUUUAAAUAUGCGUUAAAUCUAUCAUAAAUAGUUGGACAAAUGUUUAUUCUAAUUUGCAAAAUUAAAAGACAGAACUCAAAAAUCCAUGUUCUGUCAAUUUUAAUUUUUUUUAUUUUAAUCAGCCCAAGAAAUGUCGUCGUACUUAAAUAACAAGUGGUGGUAAGGAAAGGAGAACAAGGGACCUUACAUGCUUUUAAAAUGUCAACAAAAACAAAUAUUCUACCGAGUGUUGUUGUGAGAGAAAGUGAGAUGGUCGGUGGUGGAUAAAUUAUAUAUCCCACGCAGGCUGGGCAGACUUUAGUCUCUCCCGCCUUUUGAAAUCGUUCUUAAACCCGUCUUAAGCUUAAGACCAUCAAACACCGAUUUGAAAAAGUGCUGAAUUGGGGGUAAAACCGAUCUUAAGAUCGGUCUUAGACCGUCUUAAGCUUAAGCCGAAAUUUCGGUCUAAGUUACUGAAUCUGGGUCCAGGAGCAAUUUAAAGUUAUGUCGGGAAAUUUUUGAAAUUGACAAUAGCUUUGUACCUUGAUUUCCUUUAAACAUGUCUUCAUUCCUUUGUAAAUUUACCGAGUUUACUGCGUUGCAAACAUUCGAGUGAACUGAAUUCUUUAUUUUAUUGAAACGUUACAUUUUUUGCGUUAAGUUGAUACAAAAUUGAAUUUGGUAUGUGAAACUAAAAGUCCGUAAUUUAAAAGAAAUCAUAUCUCACUGGUUUUAAUUAGUAAGAUAGGUCAGCUCGUUCCUUAUCACAAUCUUCGUAAAAUUGUAUAAAAAACUUGUGUGGAUUUACUGAAGAUAAGUUUAAAACUUGUUCUAAAUGAGUAUGCUCUAGGAUUUGGACCAAACUGGUAUCAAUCGAUCACAAAUUUAAUUAGUGUGAAAUUUGCAAAUGGCACUAUCUGCCAAUGCGCAUGUUUGGCAGAGGUAUUUUUGCAUCC